GACGAACGCUGGCGGCGUGCUUAACACAUGCAAGUCGAACGGAAAGGCCCUGCUUUUGUGGGGUGCUCGAGUGGCGAACGGGUGAGUAACACGUGAGUAACCUGCCCUUGACUUUGGGAUAACUUCAGGAAACUGGGGCUAAUACCGGAUAGGAGCUCCUGCUGCAUGGUGGGGGUUGGAAAGUUUCGGCGGUUGGGGAUGGACUCGCGGCUUAUCAGCUUGUUGGUGGGGUAGUGGCUUACCAAGGCUUUGACGGGUAGCCGGCCUGAGAGGGUGACCGGCCACAUUGGGACUGAGAUACGGCCCAGACUCCUACGGGGGGCAGCAGUGGGGAAUAUUGCACAAUGGGCGGAAGCCUGAUGCAGCAACGCCGCGUGCGGGAUGACGGCCUGCGGGUUGUAAACCGCUUUCGCCUGUGACGCAGCGGGAGUGACGGUAAUGGAUAAAUAAGCACCGGCUAACUACGUG
rnacentral:rRNA from 1 species